rfam:Arabis alpina cultivar Pajares chromosome 1, whole genome shotgun sequence.
ACGACCUUACUUGAACAGGAUCUGUUCUAUAGGCUCGUACCUCUGUAUCCUUGAUUUCUAAGGAGACAGGCCCUUAACCCUGGAGGAUCGUUACUCGGCUUGGUCUAAUCCUUGCCGGGGUGGUCGCACGGCGGUCUGACAGGUU